rnacentral:rRNA from 1 species
GACGAACGCUGGCGGCGUGCUUAACACAUGCAAGUCGAACGGAAAGGCCCGGCUUUUGUGGCGUGCUCGAGUGCCGAACGGGUGAGUAACACGCGAGUAACCUGCCCUUGUCUUUGGGAUAACUUCACGAAACUGGGGCUCAUACCGCAUAGGAGCUCCUGCUGCGUGUGGGGCAUUGGUAAGUUUCGGCGGUGCGGGAUCGACUAGCGGCUUAUCAGCUUGAUGGGGUGGUAGUGGCUUACCAAGGCUUUGACGGCUAGCCGGCCUGAGAGGGUGGCCGGCCACAUUGGGACUGAGAGACGGACCAGACUCGUACGUGAGGCAGCAGUGGGGAGUAUGGCACAAUGGGCGGAAGCCAGAUGUAGCAACGCCGCGUGCGGGAUGACGGCCUUCGAGUUAUAAACCGCUUUGGACUGUGACGAGGCGUGAGUGACGGUAAUGGGUAAGGAAGCCCCGGCUAACUACGUG